CAGCCCUAAACGAUACUCGCUAGGUGUCGGCCACGGUGCGACCGUUGUCGGUGCCGUAGGGAAGCCGUGAAGCGAGCCACCUGGGAAGUACGGCCGCAAGGCUGAAACUUAAAGGAAUUGGCGGGGGAGCACCACAACGGGUGGAGCUUGCGGUUUAAUUGGAUUCAACGCCGGAAAUCUUACCGGGACCGACAGCAACAUGAAGGCCAGGCUGAAGACUUUGCCGGAUUAGCUGAGAGGAGGUGCAUGGCGUGUGACUGU
rnacentral:rRNA from 1 species